rnacentral:lncRNA from 1 species
UCCAAGAUGGCGGUACAGCAGGGCAAAAAGGCUAUAGAUUCUAUUACGAAAAUCAGGAUUUUUGCAUUUUUUGCCGUCGCAUUGAGCAUAUAUAUGAUUAAAUUGUAUGAAAAAUCGCAAAAUUGUCCAGCGAUAAAAGUUCGUGUGAAAUGGUGAGUUGGAGCGUUUUAUUGCCAGAAAUACUGUGCUAUGUUAACAUCUAGCCUUGUGAAUGGUGAUUUAUACUUGCAUCUCUCAUCAUCAUCUGCUCUGUCCG